UAGCAUUCGAAGCAAGUAGCUCUUUUUUCAAAAAGAGAUUAAUCUGAAGGAGAUCAGAACCAAGAUGGCAGGUCUUUCAAUACAUCUUAAAGAGAAGCUGCAAACAUCAUUCAUUUCAUCAUUUUAUUUGUCUGCUUCAAGACUGGGAAAAAAACAACAACUCAGUUUGCAUCUCUCUCCCACCACCAGUCACUAUGUGACCUUGGACCUGUCACUUAACCACUCCAUGCCUCAGUACGGCAACUUGUAAGAUGAGGAAGCUGAUAGCAGAGAAAGCUUUGAAUAAAUUACCCAGUGCCACAGUUAGUGACAGAGCCAGGAAUAGAAUCCAUAGUUCCUGACUCACAGUCCUGGACUUUAACUGCUCAACACAGCAUCAGCAUGCAGCUGUUACAUUUGCUGAACGUUCCAAAUUCAAAUUGGGGGCAAAACAGUGAAUUUCCUGAGGUUAUUUAUAGUAAACCAAGGAUGGCAUGUGUGGUUCUACAAAGAUAGAGAAUCGGCACAUUUGGAGAGCUGUUUGAAGGACAGGAUUGAAGACAGAAUGCAUUAAUGCUGAUUUGAAAUCAGCUAACAAUUAUGGGUGAAAACUUCCAAUCCAUUUUGCCUCCUCGUCUGAUUAUUGCUUGAGAGGCCUCAACAUUUUAUGACUCAUUAUUUACUCUGUUAUAUAACACAUCACC